UUGGUUACGUAAAGUUAACUCUUUUCUUGAGGGUUCAUCCUUUUCUCUUGAGUCACAUAAGAGAAAGGAUUUCAUUAUUAACCUCUGUUUUCAUUAAACUUUGGUACUAUAUUUAUAAAUAAACAAAUUCUUUUUUUUAUGAAAUCGAUUCUAACACUGCUACGUAUUUAGAUGCUAGGUUGAUUUAGCUUUCCUUAUAAUUUUGACUUAUUAUAGUAAUAAGGUUAUCAUAUUUUGGAUUUAAAUAUUUUAUCCACCCACUAAUCUAACAGAGAUUAUAACAAGGCCUUUCACACCCGCAUCGUACACACACACAUAUAUAUGUAUCGUAAAAUAUGUCUACUAUAUAUAUUACAUAGGUUACGACCACUAUGGUAUUUGACACUGGUUAUGUUAUACUUGGUUGUAGAAUCCGUAGAGCGGGAAGAUCCCUAUUAGUGUGCGUGUACGCGAUCUUUGAAACUAUAUAAGCAGUUAAGUCAAGAUUGACUGGAGCAGAUGGAUCGUGAAAGAUGCAAUUACAAGUUGAAAGAGCUCAAUAUUAUCGUUUUGUCGUGUAUGACCGUUUAAUACUUCUAGUUUAAAUAGACCACCUAGUAAUCGAGUUGUAAUAGUUUGAGUAUUGUAAGCCUUAGCACUUGACAAUGUGAUCAAGUGUGGCGGUGAUACCUCCGAUUUAGGUGUAAGUUUCCGCAAAUUUAUUAUAAAGUCUUUUAUAUUCUUA